GAUAGCGAAGAGGCUAAACGCGGCGGACUGUAAAUCCGCUCCUUCGGGUUCGGGGGUUCGAAUCCAGCUACCCCA
rnacentral:tRNA from 1 species